AUACCAUAUUAUUGUAUAUUUUUUUUUUUUAUUAAAUUUGUACAUUUUUAUUAUGUUGUAUAUUAAUUUAUUAAAUUUUAACAGCUUUUAAUAUAUCUUGUAAGCGUAGUUUACAGAACUUGUCUUGGUUGAAAAGGGAAAGGCACACUUUUGGUGGAAACGUGUUACGCCCUAAAAUACAAAUUAUUUGCGUUUUAUGAGCAACCGGGCCAUGCCCAUCGCGAUUGAUGCCAAAAGGGGAUGCGGAUGCGGAUGCAGGCCAGCUGGCUAUCAAGCAAUAAAAGACUGCCGGGCAGCAAGCCGGGUCGAGAAGACAACGAAGUCAAAAACCAGUUCUUCAGUCAUCUCUGUAAUUCAAUUAACUUGUAUCACGUGAUUUAAAUGUGCGCUCUCCAACUCUCCAAGGGACAAACAAAGAUAAAGCGGGGUAUGCGUUCGGUCGCGGAUGUCGAUGGGACGUAUUUUUGGAGUGGCGCCCGGGAAACGCACUGAUAAUACUAGCGGGCGCUAUGUCGGUAAACUCACGUUUAUUUCUAUUUGCAAUUGGUCAUACGUAAGAAGAAAAAGUUACUACCUGUUAUAGAAUUAUUAUCGUCCAACUUAGGUGAAUUUCCCAUUUUAUUUAUCCUGGGUAAAACCUAUACAGGCUACAGCAAUGUAGGUAUUUAAUUAUAAUUUAUAAAAUAAAAUAAAUAGCUCUUUAAUCAUGUGAUUACUAGAAACUAUAGCGAAAUCGAAGACGUGCUCAACUACUUCUAGAAAACAUUGUAAUGUACAGGAAAGACAACAUUACAAAACCUAAUAACAUAAGUCCAGAUAACAGCCAUAGUCUCGUAUAACAGGAAACUAUCAAAAUAAUCGCAUACCUAGUUAUAUGGAAACAAAAUUAAUCGAUAAGUUAGAGAUUUAUCAUUUAUGUUUUGUGAAAAAUAAAAUUAGAUUUAGGCGAAGGUGCAUUUACAACCGAACACGAAUGGAUGCGACCAUGCAAGCGAAUUCUACCGAACGAACCAAUGUACAUAAAAACGGUCUAGCAUUCUACUCGAUUCGAUUCAUUUAGGCCAACUUGACCGGAUUAUCUCAAAAUAAAUAAAAAUAUAUCGUUACGUUAUUACCUUAUAAUAAUAUAAACCUAGUUUACUAGGUUACCUUGUAUCCGAUACUUUAACAUUUUAUACCUUAGUUAUAUUAGUUGGAUCAUUAUAAUUUGGUCAUGCAUUUUCAGCACCUAGUCAUAAAAUAAUGAAAACAAGUUUAAUUUACUUGAGAAAUACUUGUAUAAUCUCAACAAUUUUUACAACGGGUCAGUUUAGUUGUAAAACUGUUAGGUCUGGCAUAAUAUUGUGAGUUACAACUCACAGACAACAGUUACUUGUUCAAAAUAUUUUUUGUUAGCAACUUACCUUGUUUAAGGUAACUAGCGAGUAUUAACACUGGCAUUUGUCAUCUCCGUCUUAUAAGUUACAAGUGUGUAACAUACCAAAUGUACGCCCGGCUGAUCACUCGUAGCUUCGUUAGUUCAAACAUUAGAGUGAUUCCGACCUAUUAUGAAACUUGAUGGUAGGAACAUUAUUUGUGAUUUUAGGAUGGUUUUUUGUGAUAGUUCAAUUUUUAAGAGAGUUAUGAGCAUUUUUAAUUUACGCUAUAUUAUAACUUAUAACUUACUAAAAAAUUGAACUGUCGUAAAAAAACAGCAUACAAACACAGAUGAUGUUCUUACCAUCAAGUUUUAUAAAAGGUCUAGUCACUCUAAUUUUUAAACUAACGAAGCUACGCGUGAUCUGCCGAGCUUAAAUUUGGUAUGUUACACAUUUGUAAGACGGAGACAACAAAUGCCAGUGUUACGUCCUCUUAACUCUUAAGACUCAUUUAAGAGGACGCCACACUCGGAUGCGUGGUCUUCAGUGGCGGCUCGUGCUAUGGGGCACACGGGCACGCGCCCCAUCUACAAAAUUGGAAGACAGAAGAUAAAUGUAUUUUAAUUUAAAAUUGAGUAGGUGUUUAUUCCAUCAUAACAUAGUUGGUAUAUCAUUUGAAAAUAUUGACGAAAAAAAAA